rnacentral:rRNA from 1 species
UACGGGGGGGGCAAGCGUUGUUCGGAAUUACUGGGCGUAAAGGGCUCGUAGGUGGCCAACUAAGUCAUACGUGAAAUCCCUCGGCUUAACCGGGGAACUGCGUCUGAUACUGGAUGGCUUGAGGUUGGGAGAGGGAUGCGGAAUUCCAGGUGUAGCGGUGAAAUGCGUAGAUAUCUGGAGGAACACCGGUGGCGAAGGCGGCAUCCUGGACCGGCAUUGACGCUGAACAGCGAAAGCCAGGGGAGCAAACGGG